AUGAAAAAUAAGAGAAGGUUGCAGUGGAAAAAAAAAAUAGCUUUUUACAUCUAGAUGUAACCUACAAUGCUGCCCUGGAGGAGGAUGUAAGGGCCAGGUUCUUUCCUUUGUUCUUGUCCCGGCUUCCACCAUUACCAAGUGAAUGCAGAAUGAAGGACAAAUAUCUCAUAGAUGUAUGUAACAUUUCAAACCAAGAAGAUACGAAGUGGAAAAAUGUUUUUCCCACUUGAGAAAGCUGUCU